AUGUCCAAGAAGAUCGUGAUCAGAGCUGAUCUCAUCGGCGAGAAGUGCAAGAGCAAGAUCAUGUCAAUUGUUGCCAAGCUCGAGGGGAUCAAGUCCAUGGACAUUGACCAGGACAAGUGCACGCUGACGGUGGUCGGCACCGUCGACCCGGUGUGUGUCGUGCAGAAGCUCAGGAAGUCGUGCUUCGCCGCGACUAUGAUCAGCGUGGACGACGACAAACCCAAGGAGAAGAAGAGCCCCUGCCAGGAGGCCUGCGAGAAGGCCUGGAAGGAGAAGUACGAGAAGGCCUGCAAAGAGAAGUGCGAGAAGGCUUGCAAGGAGCCGUGGUGCGGCGACUGCGAGAAGGGGACACCGUCGUACCGCUGCACGCCGGGCUGCUACUCCAGCCCCUGCGGCCUGCCCAGCUGCCACUACUACAGCAAUGGCUACGGCUACGGCGUGCGCACACCCCCGCCGCCACUGGGAUACGCCUGCUAUGAGGAGCGGUCACGCGGAGGCGGAGGAGAAUGCGGCAUCCAGUAA
rnacentral:rRNA from 1 species